GCUCCUCUAGCCCAAUCGGUAGAGGCACUAGGUUCAGAAUCUAGACAGUCCCGGUUCGAAUCCGGGGAGGAGCA
rnacentral:tRNA from 1 species